rnacentral:rRNA from 1 species
UACGGAGGGCGCGAGCGUUGUCCGGAAUCACUGGGCGUAAAGGGCGCGUAGGCGGCCCUGGUAAGUCUGCGGUGAAAGCCCGGGGCUCAACCCCGGGUCGGCCGCGGGUACUGCCGGGCUGGAGUGCCGUAGGGGCAGGCGGAAUUCCGGGUGUAGCGGUGGAAUGCGUAGAGAUCCGGAAGAACACCGGUGGCGAAGGCGGCCUGCUGGGCGGCGACUGACGCUGAGGCGCGACAGCGUGGUGAGCAAACAGG